CAGAGGCGAGCCGGAAGUAGGGGGGUUAUCUGCUCUCAGGCCCCGCCUCCCUGGGGCCGGCUCGGGCCAUGUCUCGCGCGCUGCCAGAAGGAGCUAUUUUGAGCAGGCCAUGCUCGGGACCCUGUCAUCAGUCCUGGGGACAGGCUCCAUCUUAGAGGGAAUCCACCUGGCUCCCGCUCCUGAGCGAUCUUCCAGCUAUCCCGUCUCCAGACUCCCACCGCACCUGCUCCUGGGUUGCAGCCACACCCAACAACAGGUGUUGCCUCUUUCUUCAAAGAGAAAACAGCAGCCCUGUCAUGGGAACUCCCUUAACUCCCUCCCUGCCUGCACCAGGCCUGAAGAAACACACGCCCAUCCUUUUCUCCUCCCUUCAGUAAGUAGCAUUGGAAGAGGUGUUCUCACCAGUGAAAUAUCUCCUCACCUGCGAUGCGGGUUCUGUCCCCCACAAUCUCCUGGGGAACUUUUUCCCACUGAUUGGCUACUGCCUCUCCGGGACAUCCCACCUCUCUCUACUGGAAUCUUCCUUUUUUUUUUUUUUUUUUUUCUUUUGAGACGCCACCACGC